UAUUACUCAUUAAAAUAUCUAUAAGAUCAUUGGAUCAUUUAAACUGAACUUUAGGAACUGGAACAGUGUACAAUUCGCUUUGGAAGUGAACUGCUCGCUUGGCGAUCUUCAUCGAACCUUCUUCAUACGGUUAACUUGGCUAUGAAAAUAUGGCACCGUGCUGCCAUAUUCGGUUGUCAGGGUUUCGUUGUUGAGUGGCGACAUAAAUUAAGGCAUGAUUUAUUGCCGAGUAGGUGGAAUGAACCAUAAACUCCUUGACAAGUCACAGUAGCUACUCCACCGAGUAGUAGGAAAAGACAGCCAAAUGUAAGCAAAGCGGAUAAAUUACUAGACAUUAAUUGAAAGUAAAAAAUAACAUCAAUUGGGGAAGAUCUUUAGAGCGGCAGGGAGUUCCAAUCCUGCCGUGAAUAAUGCCCCCAGAUGAGCCGCUAGAAGAGCGCUCAGCUGCCUCGCCGUGGGCAACGAUAAAUUUCACCUUGUCUUCAGAAGUGGACGCGGAUAGAGGAUCGGAUGGGGUCCCACCAGGCCGCGAGAAAGCAGAUCCCAGCCGGAGACUCCCCGACUGCCCCCAGGGGAGACGAUGUCCAAGUCGUCGUCUGUGUCCCAGCCUUGUGGCUUCGUGUGGCUGCUACCAGGCGGCAGUUGCAUUUGAAAAAGAAUAGACAAUUGUUUGGGCCGCAUAACAAGUUGAAGGCAAACAGCCUGCAGAAGAUGCUCUCCCAGGCUGGCCAGGCUCCCGAACAGGGUUAAGAUGGGGACACCUAGGACAGUGUAAUCUUGCGUUUUAAAAUUAAAAAGCUGUGAGGAUUUAAAGUAAGAAUGACCUGUAUUUUGUGAACCGACUGAAAAUUAUUUUAAUGUGUCCUGCAUUAUUUUAUGCAAGGAUAUAAAGUCUUUAAGCUUUGUAAAAAGA